rnacentral:misc_RNA from 1 species
UGUAGGAGCGAGCCUGCUCGCGAUGGCGCCGUGUCAGGCGACAUUAAUAGUGACUGAGCGACCGCUAUCGCGAGCAGGCUCGCUCCUACA